GACUCUCUCUUCAGAGAGAUUAUUUUCUGCUAGGUGUGAGAUGCUUCUUAGAGAAUGUGUGUUUAGGGAAAUAUCAAUAACUAGGUCUUCCUGACCAUUCUUAGGAAGCAAAUGACUCUGUUUCCAUAUUGGUCACACUUCAUGCUAGAUGACACUUUUAUUGAUGGUAUGUCUUGUAUGUUACAGGAUAUUUACCACCAAUAGCAUACACAGCUGUGACAGCGGAAAAUAUUUCCAGAUAUUGCCAGAUGUAUAACUACAGAAUUAUCCCAGAGGAGAAGCAUCUCACUAGACAACCAUUGCUACAGAGGAUUGACUUUGGCCUAUGAUGUCUGGACAAUGAUGGUAUAGAGGCUGCUCCAUCUGGGGGUGUGACAUCAAUCUGGAGAUAUCCAAGAAACUCCAGAGAGCUUGGCUAGGUCACACUAUUUACUGAGGCCUCCUUGCCUCUGAAGAUAGCUCUGAGUAGAUGCGCAAUUAGGAAUGAUCCAAAGUGUAUGCAGAAUAAGAGUGGGAAACAGAAUAAGAGACAAAAUAUAUCUAUGCUAAUCAUUGUAAAAGAAAAAACAAUAGCUCUACAUAGAGGAAUAAAAACAAAACAAAACAAAACAAAACAAAACAAAACAAAACAAAACAAAACAAAAACCCCAAAAUCUUCUCAAACUCAUCUCACACCAAGCUAAAAAGAAGUUCUUAAAGAUUCCGCGAGUGUUUUGGUGAUAGGCUGAGGGUUGUUCAUUUCGCAGUGUUCCCAAUGUGGUAUUUCCUUUGGAUUUUUCUUUCUAUUGUAGACCAGUGAAUGAAUGAAUCAUACAGCGGUCCUUGAAUUAUAUUGCAUUUAAACAUCACUGGGGACUGUUGUUGUCUUUUAAAUUCACAUUUAGGAUUCUACCUCAGAUUAUUGCAUCUGAGCCUCCAGAUACAGGUAGAGUUCUAGACAGCACUCAUGCUCUUCAGGCAUGCCUCUGGGUGUGUAACUUGGGUAGAAGCCUUUUGUUCUAUGCUUCCUAGUGGAGAUGAUUUUCUAUAAUACUGCUUUCUGUUUUGAAGGGCAUGUUUUGGACAUCACAUUCGAAGAAUUUGUUUAACUUUCUAUUUGCUAUAACUUUCAAACAUGAUCUGUGUAGCUGAAAGAGAUGUUAGCAAAUAUAAGUUUUAUUUUUAAGGUCACAGUCAAGCUAAAUGUCCAUGGGCAGGCAUGGCAGGAGAGUGGACUUUGACUAGUUAGCAACAAUCUUUGCUAGGUAUAGUUUUAAAACCACAAAAUCAGCAUCAGGUCUUUACUGAACACUAAGUGUGUGCCAUGGUAGCAAAAAGAAAACCUGUGUUGUUGCUGUUGUAAAGCUGGAGAAUGGAGUACUGUCUCACACCGGAUGAUAAAGUAAAGGGUUGAUAAUUUUAUGCAGUCAAUCGACUAACUUGGUUUACUCAGGUAGCUUACUAACUGUAGAUAUUCUUUUUGUUGUUGUUGUUUUGUUUUUAUAGUCUUAAAAUAAUUUUAGGCAUAUAGAAAAUAUAGGCAUCUUUUGUGGGUAGUGGGAAUGUCAACAGUACUUCAUACUCCAGAUUUUAUAUAGCAUUGGAAAUGUAAAUGAGCUAAAUACCUAAUU
rnacentral:lncRNA from 1 species